ensembl:lincRNA
GCCUGGCCCAGCUGCCGCCACCGUGCACACUUCCCCAGAGGCGUUUGAUUAACUCAGUUUAUUUGUAAACAGAAGCGGUUGACAUUUAAUAAUGGAGAGGCCAAUGUAAGUGGCAACCCUUCCGAAUCUUGCAGGCUUACAAAAUUAAAAGCUGGUGCCUGACAAUGAGGGGGAGGGUCCAUUAUUCGGGGACACUGCCUCCAUGGCAACAGCCACAAGAAGCUGUCAUGCGCUUGGCCAGCGGCUGUCUGCACCAUAGCAAGGGGCGCAGGUGCAGCCAGUUGGCUGCCGUGGUGGGCAGUGGCGGGCAAGUGGCGCACCUGUGGUCAUGCCCCCGACUUGCAGUUUCUCAGCCAGGGUUGGUGCCUGCGGCCCAGGCAGCCCCAGCCUUGCUUGUCAGUGUCACUGCUUGCCCGUGGCCGUGGUGACCUUCCCUGCCCCAGCAAGCGCGGUCACCGCAUACUUUCCUCCAAGCGGUGGUCUGAGCCUCAGGAGUCUGGCCCGCCUUCUGCAGGCAGGAGGGGCGGAACCGAGGUGCAAGGAGAGGCUGUGGAGUCUGUUAUCCACCCCGAGCCAGGCUGGGUGACCCGAGGGACGCCGUCCCUACACGGAGACCUCCUUCCCGGCUGUCCAGUUGCGCAGCCCUGAACACAGCCGGCACAGGAGGGGCAGCCCCUCACUCUGAAUGCUGUCCGUGUGACUCUGUUUGACCUCACAGGGCCCUGUGAUGUCACAGCUGACAGCGGGCCUGCCUGGCUCAGGUUCCAAGGAGCAGUGGACGGGAGCAGGUGGCCAGUUCCUAGGACGAAGAAGUAGUUUCUGCUUGGAGGACACUGAGCGGGGCGGGGUGGCUAAGGGGACAGGUGGGGCACUGUGCCAUCUUGACUUACAGGAGGGCCUGGGCGUGGCCCUCUGCUGCCCAACCUGCUGGGUGUCCUGCCUCUGACUGCCGUGUCCCCUGCCGACUGCGACCAUGAGAUACGAGCCAGAACCCAAGAAGUCCCCACCCCACCUGCUGCAGAAGUUCGCAGUGUGUGACAUCCCCCUGUACAACAUCUGUGACUACAACGUCUCCCGGGACCGCUGCAAGGAGCUGGGGUGCUGCUUCUACAAGAGCGUCUGCUAUGAGAAGGCUAUGCCGAUCUACGUGCACCUGUCCUCCAUCUUGCUCGUGGUCAUCAUCGUUGCCUUGGUCAUCGCUCUCGUUAACAAGUGGGUCCUGUUCCUCUCUGUCUCCCUCCUUCCAUCCCCCUCCCCCCUCUGCCUCCCUCCCUCCCCUCCCCGUCUCCCUCCCUCCGUCUCCGUCUCUGUCUCUCUCUGUCUCUGUCUCUGUCUCUGUCUCUCCCUCUCUCUGAGAGGCGGGGGCUGGCUCCUUCCCUCGGGAGCCCUCGCCAUGGCCAUCACCUGGCACUUGGUGGCUAUCUAUGCUCCAGGUGCUCGGCCUUCCUUGCUCAGCCCCUGGCCGCUGUGGCAGGUGGGGGCCGUCCCUUACUGGGGAGAGCAAGGGUCCCCUGGUACCUGCAAGGGUAGCCAUGUGUGCUCAGCCUCUGGUGUCUCUCGGGCCCCUACCACGCUGUGAGUGCAGGCUAAGUCCUGCCAUGGCACACGUCCUACCUACCACGGAUGCAGUCUUGGGGAUGAGCCCUCCUGCACUGCCACAGAGGACCACAGGCUCAGGCGCUGCGGCUGGUCGCUGUCCCCAGGCCCAGGCGGCAUUGGCACCCUCACCUGGCCCAAGCACCUGCCACGCUGGGCCCCUUUUGCAACUUAGGUGGCGUCUCGCAGCAGUGGGCAGCACCCUCCCUCGCAGCCUGACCCGCUGUGAUGUGCAGUGUGAUCUCCCCCAGAACCUAAUGCGAAACGGGCAGGGGGAGUCGGGAGGACGCUGGCCCCAGAGCACCUGUCUCCUACUUCCGACUGUGACGGAGACCCUCUCCCCGCAGGAUAGUCCAAGAGAGGAGGAAGCAGAAGGAGGCUGUUGAGGAGACGCUGCCCCCUGAGUCCAGCAGUGAGCCCGUCGAAGAAUCCCUGGCACCAACCGGUGGCUCUGUCUCCAAGAAGAGCGACGAGGGCGCGGAGGAAGGUAGGCCCCGGGCUGUCAUGGGCUGGGCAGCCUAUUCUGGCCUCUGGAUCUUCCAGGAAGACGCUGGGCAGCCGGCUGGCUCUGUCGCCCUCUCCAGCUGCGGUUCAGUUUGGGCGGAAUUCUAUCCACAGGACUUCGGAGGGGUUUGUCAGGGCGGCUGCCUUGGGCGCGGUUCUUUGUCGCUUGCUCAUGUGCUGGGGUCAGUGCCGUGGGGACCGCGGGCAGCAUGUGGCACGGGUGACUGUCCGGCAGCGCUGCAGGUGGCUGCUGGGCAUGGCGGCUGAAGGAGGGACGACGGCUCCCGGCCCUUGCCGGUGGCUUCUGGCUCUUCUGUCCAGCGUGUGUGCGGCAGGCACCCGUGUCGCUGCCAUCAGCCCCGUGGAUUCAGUCGCACUCAAGCCCUUGAGGGUGUGGGUGUGGACAGUGGUGAGGCCCCACCAUCCCACCCAGUGCCACACCCGUAUGGUGAUGGCUGGUGCCCUGGACACACGCCCACUUCGUCCCUUUGCGGCCAGGAGAGAAGGGACGCGGACAGAGGCUUUCGCCAGCCGCCACCCGGCUCUGAGUGUAGACGUGUGGCCGCGUGCAGAUGUGUUCCGCCUCCCAGACCGCUCUGCGUUCCAGCUGCGACACACAAAUUUUUGUUUCUAAUGUAGGGGAGGAGGAAGUGCAGGAGGAGGAGGAGGACUGAUGUGUGCAGGAGGACGUGGAGUGCCCAGAACUGGCCCCGCACUGCGCAGCAAUGGCCCCUAGUGGGGCUGUGCGGAGGGGCCACCCAGUGAGGCAAAUAAAGGUAUUUUGAAAGUUGCUUCCGGCCUCAGUCCUGAGUUGCUUUAGUGAGUCAUUUUAGGAGUGGGUAAGCCAU